UCUCCAUUGUUCAGCCGCCUCAGCUUUGGAAGAUGAUGGUGGCAGGGCGGCGGGGUCAUUUUGCCCCAUAUUGAUGAUGUCGGACAGACGGUAGCGAUCUGAUUCAUCACGAUGGACAUUCUUCUGUAUAAUGAAGGUAAACUUUUCAGCAUACUAUCUUCUGUCUCUGUACUUGGAGGCGCAUUUUGUGAUUUGACACUAGAAUAGUUACCCCUCUUGAAUUUUGACAUUGGCAAGAACUUGGCCUUUUCUAGAUUUAAUUUUCAAUAAUUUUACAAUUAAACAGUUCUGUUCAUUACCCCAGGUUUCUAGCUCUAAUAUAAUAUCAAAAUUAGGUCCUUUUUCGUUUGCUAGAAUAGUGUUAUAAAGAAAGAUAAGGGGGCACCUGCUAGUUCUGUAAGCUGCAUUACACUGGGGGGUGGUGAUAUUGUUCGCACAUGCUCAAUCAACAGGAAUGGCCUGAUUAGAAUUAUAUGGCUUAUUAGAAUCAAUAAUGGAUGAUUGUUCAUGAUAUGAACAUUUUUUACCAAUUUGUCAGUAUAAAGCAUGUAUAUUUUGAUUAAUUUACUAGGAUUUCAUCAAUUUCAGGAGGUUUUCUUAAAACCUGGGUAGAAUCUACCCUUAUUAGGAAAUUAAUAAAAUUUUGACAUUUUAUCAUAUAGAUAAUACCAAUACUCAAAAACAAGUAGUAAACAAACUAUUUUAUUGAUUCCAGGCACUAAUUAUAUACAAAUAUAUUCAGAGGUCUGAAUGUCAUUCACUCCCUGUAACGCCAGCAUCUGCAGCAUGAUGUCAUCAAUUGAGCUAGUGACAACAUCCAUGACAUUGAACUCAUGGGACUCAAAUUUCAUACAUAAACUCAGGUAGGUCUAAAGUCUUUAAAAAAUAGCAAAUGGACUAAUUCUGAGGUAGGUAAGAUUGUAAGUAUAGGAAUGAGAGUACCAAACCCCCGGAUGUUUACAUCAGAGAAAAAGUUAUAGAACGUUGUAAUAAGGAAUGAAUGGGUAGGCGUUAGGCGAUUGGCUGAAUUCAGGUAUGUGACAAUUCUCAUUUUGUAGUAAAAUUAUUAGUUUUUAAAAUAAAUGAUGGAAUGGGGGAAUAUUUUAAAGAAUAUAGCAACACUAGGAAAAAUUGUAGGGGUGGGGGUUGAUUUUUUAUGAAGAGUGACAUUUACUGCCGAUCGCUGUAAGUUGUAAACAACUGCAAAUUUGACCUAUAAACGCCACGGGACCCUAUAUUUUUUUUGUCAUUUCCUGAAAGGUCUUGAAUUGAAGAUUCAAAUGAUACCAAAGAUUUGACUGAAACUAUUAUAGUAAAGUACUGAGAGGUCAUAACAUUUGUAUGGAGUUCUAUGGGAAAAUAAUUGGUAGGCUUUUCCCAACAGCUGAUAGCGCUGUGUCAACAUUUUUAAAAGAAGCAUGGCCUGUAAGACGUCAAUAGUGGAAAUUUCAGCUCAACUAACGUAUGACAGAUUAUAAAGCUAUUUGUGGCCACAUGGUUUUAACCUGUUGAUUCUUUUCAGCUGUUGUGGUAAUAACCUGUCACCUCUACCCACAUGCAUAUUUCUUGUGUUCUACAGACUAUUUACCGCUAUUUGUGGCCACAUGGUUUUAACCUGUUGAUUCUUUAACCUGUUGAGGUUAACCUGUCACCUCUACCCACAUGCAUAUUUCUUGUGUUCUACAGACUAUUUACCGGUAAUUCAAAUUAAAUCGGAUAAUUCAUGAAAAGCUACUGUAAUGGAACUUUCAGAAAGCAUUAUGCCGUGUUGUGGUUUGUGUUUGAAAAGAAAUUAUAACAAACAAAAUUAAGGCUGUUUAAAGUAAUUUACAAUUGUUAACUGUGAAAGUGUGUUUUUCAAUAAAAGU